UUAUAAGAGACAGCAGUAGCCACGGUAAUACGUAGGGUGCGAGCGUUAAUCGGAAUUACUGGGCGUAAAGCGUGCGCAGGCGGUUCGUUAAGACAGAUGUGAAAUCCCCGGGCUUAACCUGGGAACUGCAUUUAUGACUGGCGAGCUAGAGUAUGGCAGAGGGGGGUAGAAUUCCACGUGUAGCAGUGAAAUGCGUAGAGAUGUGGAGGAAUACCGAUGGCGAAGGCAGCCCCCUGGGCCAAUACUGACGCUCAUGCACGAAAGCGUGGGGAGCAAACAGGAUUAGAUACCCCAGUAGUCCCUGUCUCUUAUAC
rnacentral:rRNA from 1 species